ensembl:lncRNA novel transcript
GACAGAGGCAACCAUAUAACCAUAUACAUAGACCUCAUCUGGGAAAAAGGCCUGUCUUUAGGCUGGAAGUGUCCUGUGGAAUCCCUAUCUGUGAACCCUAUAUUCAGUCUUCCUGUAGCCUCAACCUCAGUCCAAUUCCUGAACACAGAGGUUGGGAUUGACUGUUGUGAAGGAGAGGAGGAGAGUGCAUGUCAAGUUUCAGUAGCUGGAUGGACGAAGGCACGGAAGUAGGAAUCAGCAGGCAAACUGAAAAGGGUAAAGAAAAUCACUUAAGGGAGGAGCCAAGAUGGCCGAAUAGGAACAGCUCCGGUCUACAGCUCCCAGCGUGAGCGACGCAGAAGACGGGUGAUUUCUGCAUUUCCAUCUGAGGUACCGGGUUCAUCUCACUAGGGAGUGCCAGACAGUGGGCGCAGGCCAGUGUGUGUGCGCACCAUGCGCGAGCCGAAGCAGGGCGAGGCAUUGCCUCAGCUGGGAAGCGCAAGGGGUCAGGGAGUUCACUUUCCAAGUCAAAGAAAGGGGUGACGGACGCACCUGGAAAAUCGGGUCACUCCCACCCGAAUAUUGCGCUUUUCAGACCGGCUUAAGAAACGGCGCACCACGAGACUAUAUCCCACACCUGGCUCAGAGGGUCCUACGCCCACGGAACCUCGCUGAUUGCUAGCACAGCAGUCUGAGAUCAAACUGCAAGGCGGCAAGGAGGCUGGGGGAGGGGCGCCCGCCAUUGCCCAGGCUUGCUUAGGUAAACAAAGCAGCCGGGAAGCUCGAACUGGGUGGAGCCCACCACAGCUCAAGGAGGCCUGCCUGCCUCUGUAGGCUCCACCUCUGGGGGCAGGGCACAGACAAACAAAAAGACAGCAGUAACCUCUGCAGACUUAAGUGUCCCUGUCUGACAGCUUUGAAGAGAGCAGUGGUUCUCCCAGCACGCAGCUGGAGAUCUGAGAACGGGCAGACUGCCUCCUCAAGUGGGUCCCUGACCCCUGACCCCCGAGCAGCCUAACUGGGAGGCACCCCCCAGCAGGGGCACACUGACACCUCACACGGCAGGGUAUUCCAACAGACCUGCAGCUGAGGGUCCUGUCUGUUAGAAGGAAAACUAACAACCAGAAAGGACAUCUACACCGAAAACCCAUCUGUACAUCACCAUCAUCAAAGACCAAAAGUAGAUAAAACCACAAAGAUGGGGAAAAAACAGAACAGAAAAACUGGAAACUCUAAAACGCAGAGCGCCUCUCCUCCUCCAAAGGAACGCAGUUCCUCACCAGCAACAGAACAAAGCUGGAUGGAGAAUGAUUUUGAUGAGCUGAGAGAAGAAGGCUUCAGACGAUCAAAUUACUCUGAGCUACGGGAGGACAUUCAAACCAAAGGCAAAGAAGUUGAAAACUUUGAAAAAAAUUUAGAAGAAUGUAUAACUAGAAUAACCAAUACAGAGAAGUGCUUAAAGGAGCUGAUGGAGCUGAAAACCAAGGCUCGAGAACUACGUGAAGAAUGCAGAAGCCUCAGGAGCCAAUGCGAUCAACUGGAAGAAAGGGUAUCAGCAAUGGAAGAUGAAAUGAAUGAAAUGAAGCGAGAAGGGAAGUUUAGAGAAAAAAGAAUAAAAAGAAAUGAGCAAAGCCUCCAAGAAAUAUGGGACUAUGUGAAAAGACCAAAUCUACGUCUGAUUGGUGUACCUGAAAGUGAUGUGGAGAAUGGAACCAAGUUGGAAAACACUCUGCAGGAUAUUAUCCAGGAGAACUUCCCCAAUCUAGCAAGGCAGGCCAACGUUCAGAUUCAGGAAAUACAGAGAACGCCACAAAGAUACUCCUCGAGAAGAGCAACUCCAAGACACAUAAUUGUCAGAUUCACCAAAGUUGAAAUGAAGGAAAAAAUGUUAAGGGCAGCCAGAGAGAAAGGUCGGGUUACCCUCAAAGGAAAGCCCAUCAGACUAACAGCGGAUCUCUCGGCAGAAACCCUACAAGCCAGAAGAGAGUGGGGGCCAAUAUUCAACAUUCUUAAAGAAAAGAAUUUUCAACCCAGAAUUUCCUAUCCAGCCAAACUAAGCUUCAUAAGUGAAGGAGAAAUAAAAUACUUUAUAGACAAGCAAAUGCUGAGAGAUUUUGUCACCACCAGGCCUGCCCUAAAAGAGCUCCUGAAGGAAGCACUAAACAUGGAAAGGAACAACCGGUACCAGCCGCUGCAAAAUCAUGCCAAAAUGUAAAGACCAUCGAGACUAGGAAGAAACUGCAUCAACUAAUGAGCAAAAUCACCAGCUAACAUCAUAAUGACAGGAUCAAAUUCACACAUAACAAUAUUAACUUUAAAUAUAAAUGGACUAAAUUCUGCAAUUAAAAGACACAGACUGGCAAGUUGGAUAAAGAGUCAAGACCCAUCAGUGUGCUGUAUUCAGGAAACCCAUCUCACGUGCAGAGACACACAUAGGCUCAAAAUAAAAGGAUGGAGGAAGAUCUACCAAGCCAAUGGAAAACAAAAAAAGGCAGGGGUUGCAAUCCUAGUCUCUGAUAAAACAGACUUUAAACCAACAAAGAUCAAAAGAGACAAAGAAGGCCAUUACAUAAUGGUAAAGGGAUCAAUUCAACAAGAGGAGCUAACUAUCCUAAAUAUUUAUGCACCCAAUACAGGAGCACCCAGAUUCAUAAAGCAAGUCCUGAGUGACCUACAAAGAGACUUAGACUCCCACACAUUAAUAAUGGGAGACUUUAACACCCCACUGUCAACAUUAGACAGAUCAAUGAGACAGAAAGUCAACAAGGAUACCCAGGAAUUGAACUCAGCUCUGCACCAAGCAGACCUAAUAGACAUCUACAGAACUCUCCACCCCAAAUCAACAGAAUAUACAUUUUUUUCAGCACCACACCACACCUAUUCCAAAAUUGACCACAUAGUUGGAAGUAAAGCUCUCCUCAGCAAAUGUAAAAGAACAGAAAUUAUAACAAACUAUCUCUCAGACCACAGUGCAAUCAAACUAGAACUCAGGAUUAAGAAUCUCACUCAAAGCCGCUCAACUACAUGGAAACUGAACAACCUGCUCCUGAAUGACUACUGGGUACAUAACGAAAUGAAGGCAGAAAUAAAGAUGUUCUUUGAAACCAACGAGAACAAAGACACCACAUACCAGAAUCUCUGGGACACAUUCAAAGCAGUGUGUAGAGGGAAAUUUAUAGCACUAAAUGCCUACAAGAGAAAGCAGGAAAGAUCCAAAAUUGACACC